GCACAAGCGGUGGAGUAUGUGGUUUAAUUCGAUGCAACGCGAAGAACCUUACCUGGUCUUGACAUCCCGGAGACCCUUAGGAAACUAGGGGGUGCUUCCAUCUGGAAGAAUCUGGAGACAGGUGCUGCAUGGCUGUCGUCAGCUCGUGUCGUGAGAUGUUGGGUUAAGUCCCGCAACGAGCGCAACCCUUGCCUUUAGUUGCCAGCAGUUCGGCUGGGCACUCUAAAGGGACUGCCGGUGUUAAACCGGAGGAAGGUGGGGAUGACGUCAAGUCCUCAUGGCCUUUAUGACCAGGGCUACACACGUACUACAAUGGCCGAUACAAAGGGCAGCGACACUGCGAGGUGAAGCCAAUCCCGUAAAAUCGGUCUCAGUCCGGAUUGGAGUCUGCAACUCGACUCCAUGAAGUUGGAAUCGCUAGUAAUCGCGCAUCAGCCAUGGCGCGGUGAAUACGUUCCCGGGCCUU
rnacentral:rRNA from 1 species